GAUGAACGCUGGCGGCGUGCCUAACACAUGCAAGUCGAGCGGCAGCGCGGGGUGCUUGCACCCUGUCGGCGAGCGGCGGACGGCUGAGUAACGCGUGGGAACGUGCCCCAAAGUGAGGAAUAACUGCCCGAAAGGGUAGCUAAUACCGCAUAUUAUCUUCGGAUCAAAGGAUUUAUCCGCUUUGGGAGCGGCUCGCGUCGGAUUAGGUAGUUGGUGAGGUAAUGGCUCACCAAGCCGACGAUCCGUAGCUGGUCUGAGAGGAUGACCAGCCAGACUGGAACUGAGACACGGUCCAGACUCCUACGGGAGGCAGCAGUGAGGAAUCUUCCACAAGGGGCGAAAGCCUGAUGGAGCAACGCCGCGUGCAGGACGAAGGCCUUCGGGUUGUAAACUGCUUUUAUAAGUGAGGAAUAUGACGGUAACUGAUGAAUAAGGAUCGGCUAACUACGUG
rnacentral:rRNA from 1 species